rnacentral:rRNA from 1 species
UUCGAGUGGCGGACGGGUGAGUAACGCGUGGGUAACCUGCCUUACACAGGGGGAUAACACCUGGAAACAGGUGCUAAUACCGCAUAAGCGCACAGGGCCGCAUGGCCCGGUGUGAAAAACUCCGGUGGUGUAAGAUGGACCCGCGUCUGAUUAGCUUGUUGGCGGGGUAGGGGCCAACCAAGGCGACGAUCAGUAGCCGGCCUGAGAGGGUGGACGGCCACAUUGGGACUGAGACACGGCCCAAACUCCUACGGAAGGCAGCAG